GGAAAGUCGUAACAAGGUUUCCGUAGGUGAACCUGCGGAAGGAUCAUUAUUGUAUAACCGAGGUGCGAGGGCUGUCGCUGACCCGAAAGGUCGUGCACGCCCGAGUGCCCUCACACACAUCCAUCUCACCCCUAUGUGCACCACCGCGUGGGUCCCCCUUUGGCUUGUUCGGAGGGGGGCUUACGUUUUCACACAAACUUUGUAUGCAGUGUAGAAUGUAUUUUUUGUUUUUGCGAUCACGCAAUCAAUACAACUUUCAACAACGGAUCUCUUGGCUCUC
rnacentral:misc_RNA from 1 species